rnacentral:rRNA from 1 species
AUUGAACGCUGGCGGCAUGCCUUACACAUGCAAGUCGAACGGCAGCACGGGUGCUUGCACCUGGUGGCGAGUGGCGAACGGGUGAGUAAUGCAUCGGAACGUACCCGGAAGUGGGGGAUAACGUAGCGAAAGUUACGCUAAUACCGCAUAUUCUGUGAGCAGGAAAGAGGGGGAUCGCAAGACCUCUCGCUUUCGGAGCGGCCGAUGUCGGAUUAGCUAGUUGGCGGGGUAAAGGCCCACCAAGGCAACGAUCCGUAGCGGGUCUGAGAGGAUGAUCCGCCACACUGGGACUGAGACACGGCCCAGACUCCUACGGGAGGCAGCAGUGGGGAAUUUUGGACAAUGGGCGCAAGCCUGAUCCAGCCAUGCCGCGUGAGUGAAGAAGGCCUUCGGGUUGUAGAGCUCUUUCGGCUGGGAAGAAAUCGCAUCUCCUAAUACGGGGUGUGGAUGACGGUACCAGCAUAAGAAGCACCGGCUAACUACGUGCCAGCAGCCGCGGUAACAC